rnacentral:rRNA from 1 species
GAUGAACGCUAGCGGCAGGCCUAAUACAUGCAAGUCGAGGGGCAGCGCGGUAGCAAUACUGGCGGCGACCGGCGCACGGGUGCGUAACGCGUAUGGAACCUACCUUUUACUGGGGGAUAGCCCGGAGAAAUUCGGAUUAAUACCCCAUGGUAUGCUAGACUGGCAUCAGUUUAGUAUUAAAGAUUUAUCGGUAAGAGAUGGCCAUGCGUAUGAUUAGCUAGUUGGCGGGGUAAUGGCCCACCAAGGCGAUGAUCAUUAGGGGGUCUGAGAGGAUGAUCCCCCACACUGGUACUGAGAUACGGACCAGACUCCUACGGGAGGCAGCAGUAGGGAAUAUUGGUCAAUGGGCGAGAGCUGAACCAGCCAUGCCGCGUGAGUGAAGAAGGCCUU